rnacentral:rRNA from 1 species
CCCAGACUCCUACGGGAGGCAGCAGUGAGGAAUAUUGGUCAAUGGGCGAGAGCCUGAACCAGCCAAGUCGCGUGAAGGAUGACGGCCCUACGGGUUGUAAACUUCUUUUGUCAGGGAGCAAUUGGGUCCACGCGUGGGCUUAGCGAGGGUACCUGAAGAAAAAGCAUCGGCUAACUCCGUGCCAGCAGCCGCGGUAAUACGGAGGAUGCGAGCGUUAUCCGGAUUUAUUGGGUUUAAAGGGUGCGUAGGCGGGAUGCCAAGUCAGCGGUAAAAAGGCGGGGCUCAACGCCGUCGAGCCGUUGAAACUGGCGUUCUUGAGUGGGCGAGAAGUAUGCGGAAUGCGUGGGGUAGCGGUGAAAUGCAUAGAUAUCACGCAGAACUCCGAUUGCGAAGGCAGCAUGCCGGCACCACACUGACGCUGAGGCACGAAAGCGUGGGUAUCGAACAGGAUUAGAUACCCCAGUAAC